AACGAACGCUGGCGGCGCGUCUUAAGCAUGCAAGUCGAACGGCAAGAGAGGAGCUUGCUUCUCUCCUAGAGUGGCGGACUGGUGAGGAACACGUGGGUAAUCUACCCUUAAGAUGGGGAUAGCUGCUAGAAAUAGCAGGUAAUACCGAAUACACUCGGCAUAUCACAAGAGGUGUUGAGGAAAGGAAGCUACGGCUUCGCUUGAGGAUGAGCUUGCGUCCCAUUAGCUAGUUGGUGAGGUAAAGGCCCACCAAGGCGACGAUGGGUAUCCGGCCUGAGAGGGUGAACGGACACAUUGGGACUGAGAUACGGCCCAAACUCCUACGGGAGGCAGCAGCUAAGAAUAUUCCGCAAUGGACGGAAGUCUGACGGAGCGACGCCGCGUGGAUGAAGAAGGCUGAAAAGUUGUAAAAUCCUUUUGUUGAUGAAGAAGAAGGGUGAGAGGGAAUGCUCAUCUGAUGACGGUAAUCGACGAAUAAGCCCCGGCUAAUUAUGUG
rnacentral:rRNA from 1 species